rnacentral:rRNA from 1 species
UACGUAGGGUGCGAGCGUUGCCCGGAUUUAUUGGGCGUAAAGGGCGCGUAGGCGGCCACGCACGUCCGUUGUGAAAUCGCCCGGCUCAACUGGGCGGGGUCGGCGGAUACGGCGUGGCUGGAGCAAGCUAGGGGGCAAUGGAAUUCCCGGUGUAGUGGUGGAAUGCGUAGAUAUUGGGAAGAACACCGGUGGCGAAGGCGGCGCUCUGGACCGAUACUGACGCUGAGGCGCGAAAGCGUGGGGAGCAAACAGG